rnacentral:rRNA from 1 species
AUUGAACGCUGGCGGCAUGCUUUACACAUGCAAGUCGGACGGCAGCGCGGGCUUCGGCCUGGCGGCGAGUGGCGAACGGGUGAGUAAUACAUCGGAACGUGCCCAGUAGUGGGGGAUAGCUCGGCGAAAGCCGGAUUAAUACCGCAUACGACCUGAGGCUGAAAGCGGGGGGUCUUCGGACCUCGCGCUAUUGGAGCGGCCGAUGGCAGAUUAGCUAGUUGGUGGGUUAAAGGCCUACCAAGGCGACGAUCUGUAGCUGGUCUGAGAGGACGACCAGCCACACUGGGACUGAGACAGGGCCCAGACGCCUACGGGAGGCAGCAGUGGGGAAUUUUGGACAAUGGGCGAAAGCCUGAUCCAGCAAUGCCGCGUGUGUGAUGAAGGCCUUCGGGUUGUAAAGCACUUUUGGCGGGAACGAAAAGGACUGUGCCAAUACCACGGUUCGAUGACGGUACCCGCAGAAUAAGCACCGGCUAACUACGUG